rnacentral:snRNA from 1 species
GGAUGAGAGGGUGAUCUGGCUGUGACAUCUGUCACCCCAUUGAUCGCCAGGGUUGAUUCGGCUGAUCUGGCUGGCUAGGCGGGUGUCCCCUUCCUCCCUCACCACUCCAUGUGCGUCCCUCCCGAAGCUGCACGCUCUGUCAAAGAGGUCGAUCUUCCCUGAUAGAGGAGAGGACCGUUCUUCGGUCAAGAGUAUACGAGUAGCUGCGCUCCCCUGCCAGAACCUCCAAACAAGCUCUCAAGUAUAAGUCAGAUCAUGUCACUCCGAUCAUGUCACUCCUCUCAACACCUGCAGUGGCUUCCCUCCUCAUUCUGAAUAAAAGCCAAAGUCC